GAAAAAGAUAUCUCAAACGUGGUGGUCCAGUGUAGGUAGUAUUCUACAAUAAGCUGUCGUGGUUUGUGUCUGAACUACCUGAAAAGAUAUCUCAAACGUGGUGGUCCAGUGUAGGUAGUAUUCUACAAUAAGCUGUCGUGGUUUGUGUGUGAACUACCUGAAAAAGAUAUCUCAAACGUGGUGGUCCAGUGUAGGUCGUAUUCUUCAAUAAGCUGUCGUGGUUUGUGUCUGAACUACCUGAAAAAGAUAUCUCAAACGUGGUGGUCCAGUGUAGGUAGUAUUCUACAAUAAGCUGUCGUGGUUUGUGUCUGAACUACCUGAAAAAGAUAUCUCAAACGUGGUGGUCCAGUGUAGGUAGUAUUUUACAAUAAGCUGUCGUGGUUUGUGUGUGAACUACCUGAAAAAUAUAUCUCAAACGUGGUGGUCCAGUGUAGGUAGUAUUUUACAAUAAGCUGUCGUGGUUUGUGUCUGAACUACCUGAAAAAGAUAUCUCAAACGUGGUGGUCCAGUGUAGGUAGUAUUCUACAAUAAGCUGUCGUGGUUUGUGUCUGAACUACCUGAAAAAGAUAUCUCAAACGUGGUGGUCCAGUGUAGGUAGUAUUCUACAAUAAGCUGUCGUGGUUUGUGUCUGAACUACCUGAAAAAGAUAUCUCAAACGUGGUGGUCCAGUGUAGGUAGUAUUCUACAAUAAGC